AAAAAGAACACAGGCCUUAACAACCCACUAGGGAGUGCAUCCCGCAUCCAGGUAACUCCUGCACGUGGGGAGCUACAACCUUAUCCUCUCAGGCUCUUCCCCAGUCUUAUCCUCUCGCCAAGAACUGGCAGGCUCCCUGCAAUGAUGCGACGACGCCCCCGAGCGCUUGGUGCAUGACUCGCAGAGUCGCAGAGGUCUGCAGAUCCCGACCGAACGAGUGGGGGCCGAGCGCUUCUUCACAGUGGUCUGGACACGGCUCGCCACCGUUCUCGCUAGCCGUCCUACGGCACGGAGUCGCAGUAGAAGAGGAAAGGGAGGCGGCGACGACGCAAACCAGAGAAAGAGGAUGGUGGUGGUGGCGCGGUGGCUGGAGCAGAUGGCGUCGUGCAGGGUGGGUGGGCGAGGGAAGUCAGUGGCGGCGCAAUGCACAAGGAAGCUGAGGCAUCGGGUCACCGAGCCGACCCGCAGGUUGUCGGGCUAUUGUCGGGUCAGGCUGGGCACGGGCCAAAUAAAAAAGCAUCUGGUUUUUUCUAGCCCAACCUGAACCCGGCCCGGCCCGACAUUUGAUCAGUAUGGGGAUUCAAAGAUGCCGAAACGAAGAAUGACAGCAUCAGGUGGGCUUCAUCAGUCCCUUGCUAAUCAACCAAAAGAAUCUGAAUGAUAAUUAUACGAAAACAUGUCAAAAACAUGUACUCCCUUACUACGCAAUGCUACAAGUCAUAUAUAAUGAUACCCUACACCUUUGGGUAAGUCUUGGUAGACUUGUACCUCUUUUAUGUUCCUAAUAAAUGUUAAGUCUACUGCAUGUAUAUGUGCUUGUAUAUGUGCAUAUGCA